rnacentral:rRNA from 1 species
CGAGUGAAGCGGUAAGAGCUCAAAUUUGAAAGCUGGCUCCUUCGGGGUCCGCAUUGUAAUUUGCAGAGGAUGUUUCGGGAGCAGCCCCCAUCUAAGUGUCCUGGAACGGACCGUCAUAGAGGGUGAGAAUCCCGUAUGGGAUGGGGUGUCUGCGCCCAUGUGAAACUCCUUCGACGAGUCGAGUUGUUUGGGAAUGCAGCUCUAAAUGGGUGGUAAAUUUCAUCUAAAGCUAAAUAUUGGCCGGAGACCGAUAGCGCACAAGUAGAGUGAUCGAAAGAUGAAAAGCACUUUGAAAAGAGAGUUAAAAAGCACGUGAAAUUGUUGAAAGGGAAGCGCUUGCGAUCAGACUCGCCUUGGGGGUUCAGCCGGCAUUCGUGCCGGUGUACUUCCCCCAGGGCGGGCCAGCGUCGGUUUGGGUGGCCGGUCAAAGGCCCUUGGAAUGUAACGCCUCUCGGGGCGUCUUAUAGCCAAGGGUGCCAUGCGGCCUACCUGGACCGAGGAACGCGCUUCGGCUCGGACGCUGGCAUAAUGGUCGUAAGCGACCCGUCUUGAAACACGGACCAAGGAGUCUAACAUCUACGCGAGUGUUCGGGUGUCAAACCCGUGCGCGCAGUGAAAGCGAACGGAGGUGGGAACCCUUUGGGUGCACCAUCGACCGAUCCUGAUGUCUUCGGAUGGAUUUGAGUAAGAGCGUAGCUGUUGGGACCCGAAAGAUGGUGAACUAUGCCUGAAUAGGGCGAAGCCAGAGGAAACUCUGGUGGAGGCUCGCAGCGGUUCUGACGUGCAAAUCGAUCGUCGAAUUUGGGUAUAGGGGCG